rnacentral:rRNA from 1 species
GUUGAGGAAGAUAAUGACGGUACUCAACAAGGAAGUGACGGCUAACUACGUGCCAGCAGCCGCGGUAAAACGUAGGUCACAAGCGUUGUCCGGAAUUACUGGGUGUAAAGGGAGCGCAGGCGGGARRACAAGUUGGAAGUGAAAUCCAUGGGCUCAACCCAUGAACUGCUUUCAAAACUGUUUUUCUUGAGUAGUGCAGAGGUAGGCGGAAUUCCCGGUGUAGCGGUGGAAUGCGUAGAUAUCGGGAGGAACACCAGUGGCGAAGGCGGCCUACUGGGCACCAACUGACGCUGAGGCUCGAAAGUGUGGGUAGCAAACAGGAUUAGAUACCCUGGUAGUCCACACCGUAAACGAUGAUUACUAGGUGUUGGAGGAUUGACCCCUUCAGUGCCGCAGUUAACACAAUAAGUAAUCCACCUGGGGAGUACGACCGCAAGGUUGAAACUCAAAGGAAUUGACGGGGGCCCGCACAAGCAGUGGAGUAUGUGGUUUAAUUCGACGCAACGCGAAGAACCUUACCAAGUCUUGACAUCCUGYGACGAUGCUGGAAACAGUAUUUYUCUUCGGAGCACAGAGACAGGUGGUGCAUGGUUGUCGUCAGCUCGUGUCGUGAGAUGUUGGGUUAAGUCCCGCAACGAGCGCAACCCUUAUGGUCAGUUACUACGCAAGAGGACUCUGGCCGGACUGC